AGUUCUUCCUCCUCUAGAAACAGCAGUUUGCGUGCUAACACCCACCUCAGGGAAAUCACAAAUGUCAGCGUGGAUGUCAGUGUUGCCACUGACCUCUGCGGCUCGGGUGCUCGGGGCAGUGCAGGCGAUCAGACAGCAGUAAGUCACCACUCGGAAAAAAAUCCAGUAGCAAAUCACCGUACAGUUUCUGAUGCAGCUGGGAUCUUGGCAGGAAAAAGAGCACAAGCCAGCCAAGAGAGGACCCUGACCACCUGGCUCCAUUAGAGACUUCACUCCAUAAAAAGCCAUAGUAAACAGGAACAGCAGCCUGUAAAGCUGACUGGUUUGGAUAGCAAGAGUUUUGGACCACCAGGAGACUCCUGAAUUGCUGCUAGACAUGGUGUGAAAACAUGCUUGUUCAGAUCUCAGAAGUGCUGAUCAACUCACAGAGCCAAGGGAAUGAGGAAAAAUAGCAUACACCUUUCAAAAACAUGUAUUGUUGCCAGGCCUAUAAUCCCCACUGCUGCGAAGAACUGACAUUCCCAAAAUGAUUCCUGUCUGUGCUGAAUCAAUGGAACAAGAGUGUGAUAUGUCUAUAUUAGAGCAAGUACUAGUAAUGAGAUUACCAAGAGCUAUUCAGGCAAAUAUUCAUGCCAGCUCCGGCAUCGUUGACCCUCUGUAGCCACCGUUGGGUUCGACCACGAGGACCUGUGCAUAGCCAUUCCUUGGCAGUACCCUGACUUGUUUACUGCCUUUCGCAGUGAAAGUAAAACCUUCCAAAGCACCCAAGUGACUUAGGAAUCUAGUCAAGAUUUUCUAAAGCAAGGUUAUACUCCUAAAUGCUCAGAGGACGAGGGAGCUGGAACUGCUGCUUGCAAUGAAGGGGGCAGAGGUACUGCUGGUCUGUUCUCACUCCUCUCCUGCCCCACAAGAAGAUGACUCUACAGCAAGGUUCUGGCUGUACCACAUGGGUCACUGCUCAGCCUGAACUCUGCAGAGGUGGAGGUACUGCCUGCAUCCUGCUCCCAUCUCAAUCUGCAGGAAAUAGCAUAGGUAGUACCUCAGCAUAUUCUGUCUGAGCAUAUUUUGAAGAGAAGACACACAUUAGUAACUGGCCUUGAGUACAGACAGAUGAAACAAGCCUAGAGUAACCACAGACAUGUUGGUAUUGAAUCUGUUCUUGUUUCUCUACUGACCUUACAUCCAUCUGACUUCUUGAAUUACCUCAGUGCACUGAUUGUGAACAACUUUGAUUUGUUUGUCUAGUUGUAUCCUUUUUUUUCCUUGCCAGAAGAUUAUUUUUCUCUUAAGAUUCUCAUGUGUUUCCUCCUCUCCGUAUUUUCCUUCAAGAUUUGGUUAGAAUUACAGAAUCACAAAAUAACUUUGGUUAGAAGGAACCUUUGGAGAUCAUCUGGUCCAAUCCCCACUCAAAACAGGGCUAAUUUCAAUGUUAGGUCAGUUUGCCUAGGGCCUUGCCCAGCCCAGGUCUGAAUAUCUCCAAGGGUGGAAAUUCCCCAGUCUCACUAGGCAUCCUGUUCAAGGGUUUGCCCACCCUCACUGCGAAUAAUUCUUUUCUGUAUAUUUACCUUGAAUUUCUCUUGCUGCAAUUGUGUGUGUUGCUUUUCAACCUUUCACUGUGCAACUCUGAAAUAGUGUGGCUCCAUCUUCUCUAUAACUACCCACUAAGCAGUAGAAGGCAGUAAUUAUGUGCCUCCUCAGCCUUCUCUUCUUCAGGCUGACCAAAGACAGCUCUCUCAGCUCCUGCUGCUAUGUCAGAUGCUGCAGCCACAUAACCAUCUUGGAGGCCCUCCACUGGACUUGAUCUAAUUUCUCAGCGUCUCUCUCUUGUACUGAGGAGCCCCAGACUGGACAUAGCUCUCCAGACAUCUUCUCACAAAUGCUAAAUGGAAAGGAAUAAUCACUUUACUCAACCACUUGACUAUAGUCUUAGUAAUGCGGCCUAGUAAACAGUCUUCAUCACCACAAGGGCAUGCUGAUGACUAGUGUUCAGUUUGUGGUCCACCGGAAACCCCAGAUCCCUUUUUGCAGAAAAACGUUUCUACUUCGGUAGUUAGCCCCGGCCUGUACUAUUGCAUAGGUUUUUUCUGUUAAUGGUGCAGGAUGUUGCAUUUGGCCUUCACAAGAUUUCUGACAACUCCUUUCUUCAGUCUGUCAAGAUCCCUUUGAACAGCAGCUUUUCACUCAGGCAUAUUGACUGUUCUCCAAAUUUGGUGGUCUCUGUGAACUUGCUGAGUUCCUAAGUAGUGCAAGUGCUGGUUCUUGAAUUACCACUGGACGUUAAUGUAACAGUUUUAUCAAAAAUUCUAAGUGUUCUUUACAAUAUAUUGUAAGACUUUGUACCAUAUUAACAGUGCUGUCUCAUUUAAUGUUUUGCAGUGUUAUUAUUUAUAAAGGUGAUAGAAAUGUGAGCUGAUGCUUCCUAGAACUCAGCAUUUUGAUGCCAGUCCAUACAGAGGGUAACUUGCCUUCCUCUGUGAACAUACAAGACUGUGGAUGUUUCCCUGUGUUAACAUAUGGUAUCUGGUAGUCAACCUGGAUAGCGAGGUAGUUUGAUGCUUGGGAAAGAAGUUGGAGGGAACCACAAUGGGUGAAAAUGAGGAAAACCUGAGAUCGUAGUGUUAUAGAAGGCAGUAGGAGAGAGAGUGGUGAGCAGGAGGAAAAGGGAUCGUGGCAGGGAGGGAAAGAAGAAAGGGAUGUUUUCAGGCCAAGGAAGGUUGUGUGUGGGAGGAUAACUUGGAUGAUCAGAAGGCAGCAGGACCAUAAUUAAAAUGGUCACCACCUCCAGAUUUGGGUACCUCUCGCAUCCCUAAAUAAAUCUUCAACUGUGUGCCAUAGCUAAAAAUACCUUGGCAGUGCUGGCAUGAAGUUGAUUACAGGAGCCUGCAGAUCAUUCUGCUUUCUUAGGUUCCUUGUGCAAUUUCAGUUGGCUAGUACACAUCACAUUUAAGGUACUGCAAAUAUUUUGGUCUGCAAUUGUGUUCUUUUCCUGAGAAGGUUGCCUUUUCAUAGCAAGUGGCACAGAUCCUGCAGCAUACAGACACGCAUGAUAUUUAUACUAUUGUAUAUGUAUAUAUAUAACCCCAGUUUAGAUCAUAGUUAGCUAUCUAAGAUCUCUGGACUGAAAGGUGCUUAUAAACAUAUGCUAAGAUUGUUACUCAUGAUAGCAUCAAGAAGUCAGAGCAAUUAGAAAUUUUAGUAGUGAGCAGAGAAAAAGAAAAAAAUCAAUUAGAGAGGAAUUACUUUUCCUUUGGUGAUUAUUUCAUUACUCAGAAAAAAUCAAUGUGACUAUUAAAAUGCUUCCAGGUGUCCUAAAGCAACAUUAUCAUCAACUGCUUUUUGCUGUAGCAGAAAGCAAAGCGGAAUAUGGAUAUCUGAAAAGAGGAAUAAAGACUUAGACAACAGUGAGAUUAAUUUGUAUUCCUGGAAACUAAAGUCUAGGUGGUUUAGAAUGGAAUGGGAAAAUAUUACAGAAAUCACAUUUAGUAAUGUAAACGUGUUAACUGAUUAAUUCUCACAAUAACCUUGGGAAGUAGGGAAAGAUUAUGCCUUUUUGACAGAUGGAGAAACACAGGCAGAAAAGGCUAAAUUCAUGCCAAGAUCUUUACCAGCCUCUCAAGUAGUUUGCAAGGAAGAAGAUCUUUCCCUGCAGAAAGCCUACAACUACAGAUAUAUCCCCAAGUUUCCCUCUGUUUCUAUGGGAGGACAGAUUGGAUCAUAGGUGUUGAUGCUCCUGGCCUGGCCUUUUUGGAGUUCGGACUGGGUUAUAAACCAGUAUAAUCAGGGGAACAAGCAGAAACAGCCGUUUCUUUAUGAUGACUCACCUUACCAGAGGAAGAUUAGUCAAUGGAAAUUUGUGUCUGCCUGUACUAGUUAGUAAAUAUGUAGAGGCAGGGUAAAUACCCCACCACUCCGUAAGUCACAGCAUUAGGACAGUGGGAGAGUGGAAGCCUGCUUUAGUAGUCAUAGCUGUUUGCUCUUGGCAAUCCAACAUCAAUAGAAGUAAGAGCAGAGGAGGCCGAGGCUGAUUUCCAGCUCUGCAACAGACCUCAGGCCUGAAGGAUGUCAAGUGCUGAAUCCCAGCUCUCCUGUUUACUCUUUCCACCACCAGUCUGUGCAAGAUGUGCCCCAGCCUGUCCCCAGCACACUCUCUUCCCUUAAUCCUGGGUCAAUACAGGAGUGCUAAGUUUUCUUAGGUCUUCUCACAGGGGAAAUUAUCCAGUCUAAAUCUCAUGUAACUCUAUGUUCAUUUUGUAUCACCUUAAUUAACCAGUGAAGUGGUAAUGUGGUAACCAGAAGCUCACAGUAGCAAAGGUAAGUACAGACAUAUGAAGUCAUUACCUUCCCAUUCAAUAACCAUUCAUUAAUGCUUCUUUUCCUUUAAUCUGCUGACUGACCACACUUGCAGUAGCUUAUUCAUAUGGUCAGCUUUGCCUUGGCUUUGCCAUUCUUUCCCAAAGUGUCUGAAAUAGAAAUACUUGAUCAUUUGCCAGCUAAAACAAACUCAGUUCAUUUUCCACUAGUACUGGUAAAGGCAGUUUGAAUGCUGUCAGCAUUAACAUUUUGGAGUGUCUGUGUUCACCUCCUAAAUAUAGCAUUUGCAAGAGGCCCAGACAGAAGUGUCUCUCUGGAAGCUCUCUUCACUGUAACUUCUCUCUGUGAUGAAAUAUUGUUGAAACAAAUCUGGAGACAAAUGGGACCUCAACACUUCAGCUUUGUGCGUCCUAGUGCACCUAGAAGUUCAGGAGCUGUAAACCUAUGGAAUCUGUCACAAAUGUAAAGGCUGCUGUCUAAAGGAAAGCCUUCAUUAAUCUUAACGGUCGAGGGACUAUCACCUAAUCAGUAUGUUCACUACUCAUUAACACCAUGGAGUUUAUAAAGUCCCUGCGUCCAGCGUGCUGUGAUGAAACACUAAAGUCAGUAAGUUCAACUCCACACAUCAGCCUGAACCACUGGACCCAAUCUUUGCGUCCCAAACACCUAAGACCAUCUGAGCUGUGUUUAGAUUACUGUUCCUAUAUUAGUUUGAAAGCACAUACAUAGGCUGAGCUUGCUUAUUCCUGCUUUUUUAGUUUCACCAAGCCCUACAAGCUUCUAGUUUAACUUGUUCAGGGGGAAAAGGGAAGGAAGACAAAAACCACCUGUUUAGCAAAAGAUUUUCUUUUGUCAUCACUUCCUCACUCUUAAAAAACCUCUAGAGUUACAGAUCUUUGCAAAAUAAGAAGUGAUCCAUAUUUUCUCAGUCUGAUCUCCCUCUUACGGCUUCCAGGCUUUAUCAGCAUUUCAGGUGAGACAGAGUGCCUCCUGCUGCUCUCUCCAGCUGAUUUUUCCUAACAUUUGAUAAUGAUCUGCCCUCAUCUGCAGAGAAGCCUCCCUCUUUACAUUCAGGCUGCCUCUUUUUGUCAAAUGCUCCAGCGAAAAAACUACAACUCCUUCUGGUAAAGAAUUAGUUGUUCUGGGGUUUUGUAGGGUAGCAGGGAAAGACACUCAGAGAUGACAGCCCUUGACUGGUGUGUGUUGGCCUCUCAAUUUUAGUUAUUCCAGGAGAUGUCAAGAACUAUCCCUGGACUAAGCAGCAUAAGAGACUGCCGUAGUCAAUGUCAGUCUUUCAGUAUUGAAUACAAAAAGGCAAAAUGGAAAACCUACUGCAAACACAGACUCACCAUAUGAAAAGAGCUUACAACUUGAUGCAGAUAUUCUCACUUCUACAAUGUGCAUCUCACCUUUGUAACAAAAAAGCUAUUGGGGUGCCAAAAAGUUACUGGCUAGGAUGGAAAAGAAGGAAAGAGAGAAAAACAUGACUCAGAGCAGGUUACUUGCUAAAGAAUCUCCUUAUUUAAAUAUAAAAAUAGGAAAAAUAUUGCAGGGAAAGGAAAGUUCUCAAUUUAAUUGCUGUUUGUGGUUAUUCUUAGUCAUUGUAAGUUAUCAGCAAACACCUGGUCUAAUUAAUCACACUCUGAAUUACCAUGCACAAAAUACAUUUGUUUCUAGGCAUUGUGUUCUGUGAUCUGUCUCUGUUUUUUAUCCAUCUAUGCAGUACUCCAGCUUCUCCCAAUGAAUGAAAUGAGAAUAUUAUGUCCUUCUAAAAGCAGGUAGCAAAAACAUUUUAACCUGCAUAAGCUUUGGAGUCUGGUCACCUUUGCACAAGAAGAUAGAAACACAAACUUAAAAUUAAGCAGAGAUUGUUCCUCUAGUCUCAACUAAAGUCAUUUCAUAUAUUCAAACUACACUUCAACCACUGGGAAAGCCUUUCAUUUAGUUUAAUUUUUGCUAAAAUGUCUACUUUGCACAGCAACAUAGCUUUUUGUGCUUGACAACUUAAUUUGCUAUAUUCUAUUGAGCCACUAGAUGUCCCUAGUUCCUACAUAGAGCUCCAAAUAUGAUAAAAUACAUAAUUAAUCAGAGAGAAAGUUGGAACUCAAGCUGUGUAGAAACAUAUUUCUGUGGGCAAUACAUAGGGCUUUUUUCUGUAAUAAAUCCUGAUUCUUUAAUAAAUACUGACUGUGAUUCUCUAAAUCAUGACAAUUCCAAACACUGAUGUGCCAAACACAAAUAAUUACCCUAACUGCGUUUAGACAAAGUGAAUAUAUGCCAUAUAUAAAAAUCAGGUGAUACUGAAGAGAACUGAUGAAGAUGGCAUUGAGCAAAGUAGGCUACAAACCCACAGACCACAAAGUGAACUGUGUCCCUCCAUUCCCAACUAUUAAGUGACAAUAGCAUUUUUAGUGUACAUAUGUUAUUACACUAUUUGCUUGCUAUUCAUAAAGUAAAACAGGCACAGUCUUGACAGCCAGAGUCCAUCUUAUUUAAUUAAAGCAUAGGCUUGACUGUAGUCUAGUUGGGGGUAUGGGAGGGCUAUACCAAUAUGCAAUUUUAGAUAAUUAAAGACUAGCUGGAGAGUGGUCACUUCAGUAUCAGACCAUGAACAGUGGGCAAUGUAAAAUAGACAUAAGACCAAGAUAGACGUUUGACUUACACUGGUGACAGUGAAAGCAACAUCAACCCAUUUUCUGCUCUGAAGGAAACAAAAUGUUUGACCAAGUAAAGAAGCCUGUGCCAGGAAGCUGCUGGCAGCUGCCUACAAGCUGUGCAACUCCCUGUUCCCUGCCUGCGCUCUAUCUGCCUCAAGCAAGCUUCCUCUGUGCCCUCAGACCUGACCCCCAUUAGUUAAUUUAUACCUUCAGCACUUUGCAGGACCCUGACACAGAAAGUGCUGCCUCACUAAUUCCAGUUUGGAAACUCUCUCUCAGUUUCGGACUCCCUCCCUCAGUAUUUUCCAUUCGCAAACCGGGAAGGGAAAGGUCACAUUUCAGGCAAAAACAGGAGAAUGCCACCUGCAAAUCCGUUUUGCUUUUCAGCCACCUGAGUGGUGACAAACUGCAUCUGCAUAAAAAGCAGGUCUGUGGCAGCUGAGAUCAAUUAGUCUCACCAAAAUGUGGAUGGCCAGGGCAUUUCCUUUUCCCACUUCUCUUCUAUAUUGUUCCCCCAAAACAAAGGUUACUGCCAUCUUUUUAGUAAGGAUAGAGUUCUCCCACCUCAGCGUUAAAAAUCCCCUAUAUUGAUGCCCCUGACUGAAUUAUGUUGAUUUUCUUUGAUAAUUAAAUAUCGCAUCCUGG